rnacentral:misc_RNA from 1 species
UGGUUCUGGCAUCGAUGAAGAACGCAGCGAAAUGCGAUAAGUAAUGUGAAUUGCAGAAUUCAGUGAAUCAUCGAAUCUUUGAACGCACAUUGCGCCCUGUGGUAUUCCGCAGGGCAUGCCUGUUCGAGCGUCAUUUAGACCACUCACGCGUAGCGUGGUAUUGGGGCACGCGGUUCCGCGGCCCUCAAAACCAGUGGCGGCGCCGGUAGGCCCUAAGCGUAGUAAAUCUCCUCGCUAUAGGGUCCUCUCGGUGGCUCGCCAGAGCCCCCAACUUCUGAAGGUUGACCUCGGAUCAGGUAGGGAUACCCGCUGA